UAGGGAAUCUUCGGCAAUGGGGGGAACCCUGACCGAGCAACGCCGCGUGAGUGAAGAAGGUUUUCGGAUCGUAAAGCUCUGUUGUUAAGGAAGAACGAGUGUGAGAAUGGAAAGUUCAUACUGUGACGGUACUUAACCAGAAAGGGACGGCUAACUACGUGCCAGCAGCCGCGGUAAUACGUAGGUCCCGAGCGUUGUCCGGAUUUAUUGGGCGUAAAGGGUACGCAGGCGGUUUAAUAAGUCGAAUGUUAAAGAUCGGGGCUCAACCCCGUAAAGCAUUGGAAACUGAUAAACUUGAGUAGUGGAGAGGAAAGUGGAAUUCCUAGUGUAGUGGUGAAAUACGUAGAUAUAUGGAGGAACACCGGUGGCGAAAGCGGCUCUCUGGUCUGUAACUGACGCUGAGGCUCGAAAGCGUGGGGAGCGAACAGG
rnacentral:rRNA from 1 species